rnacentral:lncRNA from 1 species
CCCACAAAGCUUCACCUAGAAAGCUUCAUCUACAUACUUUCACCAUCAAAGCUUCACCAUCAAAGCUUCACCUAGAAAGCUUCAUCUACAAAGCUUCAUCUACAAAGCUUCACCAUCAAAGCUUCACCUAGAAAGCUUCAACACCAAAGCUUCACCUACAAAGCUUCAACACAAAACCUUGCUCCAAAUAAACAAAUUUUGUUCACAAAACCUAAACAUUUUUUGUUUUACACCCACAAGGGCCCAAAAUCUUCCUUCUUAUUUAUUCACUUAUAUAUGUUCCCAAACAUAUUAUGAUAGAUCAAAUAAUAAUUCAAAGUCCAAAAUUUCGUUAUGGACAAAAAUACAAGCAAUUCACCAGUACUGAAGUUGUUACAAAAACUGGAAUCUUCCCCAGCCUAGAAAUCCAACAAAGCUUCGCCUCCUUUUCUCUAUCAAAUUUUUGCAGCUGCUGCUUCUCUCCAAUGGAGCUGAAUUUUGGACACCCUUUAGUUCUUGAGCAGAUGAACAACUUUCAAGAAGGAACCAUUUCUGUUUGAGCCACGGAAAUUAAAGUGUUGAAGCUCCAAGCAUGACAGUCGGAUUCUUGCAGAUUUCGAAGCUGCUGUGAUGUUUCGAAGAUCUGGAAAUAUUUAACCAUUAGUUCAUUCUGAAUUUUUGAUAUGUUAUGAAAGAGACGAU